AAAAUGGUACCGUAACUUCGGGAGAAGGUACGCUGCCGGCGGUGAUAGGACUUGCUCCUUGAGCUGUUGGCAGCCUCAGAAACCAGGCCCCUGCAACUGUUUAUUAAAAACAUAGCACUCUGCAAACACGAAAGUGGACGUAUAGGGUGUGAUGCCUGCCCGGUGCUGGAAGGUUAAUUGAUGUGGUUAGCGCAAGCGAAGCUAUUGAUCGAAGCCCCAGUAAACGGCGGCCGUAACUAUAACGGUCCUAAGGUAGCGAAAUUCCUUGUCGGGUAAGUUCCGACCUGCACGAAUGGCAUAAUGAUGGGGGCGCUGUCUCCAGCAGAGGCUCAGUGAAAUCGAAAUCGCCGUGAAGAUGCGGUGUACCCGCGGCUAGACGGAAAGACCCCGUGAACCUUUACUGCAGCUUGACAUUGAACUUUGAUCUUACUUGUGUAGGAUAGGUGGGAGGCUUUGAAGUGGCGACGCUAGUUGCCAUGGAGCCGUCCUUGAAAUACCACCCUGGUAAUAUUGAGGUUCUAACUCUGUCCCGUUAUCCGGGACGAGGACCAUGUCUGGUGGGUAGUUUGACUGGGGCGGUCUCCUCCUAAAGAGUAACGGAGGAGUACGAAGGUGCGCUCAGCGUGGUCGGAAAUCACGCGUAGAGUAUAAAGGCAAAAGCGCGCUUAACUGCGAGACCCACAAGUCGAGCAGGUACGAAAGUAGGUCUUAGUGAUCCGGUGGUUCUGUAUGGAAGGGCCAUCGCUCAACGGAUAAAAGGUACUCUGGGGAUAACAGGCUGAUACCGCCCAAGAGUUCAUAUCGACGGCGGUGUUUGGCACCUCGAUGUCGGCUCAUCUCAUCCUGGGGCUGAAGCAGGUCCCAAGGGUAUGGCUGUUCGCCAUUUAAAGAGGUACGCGAGCUGGGUUUAGAACGUCGUGAGACAGUUCGGUCCCUAUCUACCGUGGGCGCUGGAAAUUUGAGAGGAUCUGCUCCUAGUACGAGAGGACCAGAGUGGACGAACCUCUGGUGUACCGGUUGUGACGCCAGUCGCAUCGCCGGGUAGCUAUGUUCGGAAGGGAUAACCGCUGAAAGCAUCUAAGCGGGAAGCCUACCUCAAGAUAAGAUUUCCCUGUGACUUUAUGUCACCUAAAGAGCCGUUGAAGACUACGACGUUGAUAGGUUGGAUGUGGAAGUGUAGCGAUACAUGAAGCUGACCAAUACUAAUUGCUCGUGAGGCUUGACUAUACAACACCCA
rnacentral:rRNA from 1 species